GAUGAACGCUGGCGGCGUGCCUAAUACAUGCAAGUAGAACGCUGAAGGAGGAGCUUGCUCUUCUGGAUGAGUUACGAACGGGUGAGUAACGCGUAGGUAACCUGCCUGGUAGCGGGGGAUAACUAUUGGAAACGAUAGCUAAUACCGCAUGACAACAGUUAUUGCAUGAUAACUGUUUAAAAGGGGCAACUGCUCCACUACCAGAUGGACCUGCGUUGUAUUAGCUAGUUGGUGAGGUAACGGCUCACCAAGGCGACGAUACAUAGCCGAGCUGAGAGGGUGGUCGGCCAAACUGGGACUGAGACACGGCCCAGACUCCUAACGGAGGCAGCAGUAGGGAAUCUUCGGAAAUGGACGGAAGUCUGAACGAGCAACGCCGCGGGAGUGAAGAAGGGUUUCGGAUCGGAAAGCUCUGUUGUAAGGGAAGAAAGAGUGUGAGAGUGGAAAGUUCACACUGUGACGGUAUCUUACCAGAAAGGGACGGCUAACUACGUG
rnacentral:rRNA from 1 species